AUUGAACGCUGGCGGUAUGCCUUACACAUGCAAGUCGAACGGUAGAGGGGCAACCCUUGAGAGUGGCGAACGGGUGAGUAAUACAUCGGAACGUGCCCAGUCGUGGGGGAUAACGUAGCGAAAGCUACGCUAAUACCGCAUACGACCUGAGGGUGAAAGCGGGGGAUCGCAAGACCUCGCGCGAUUGGAGCGGCCGAUGGCAGAUUAGGUAGUUGGUGGGGUAAAGGCCUACCAAGCCUGCGAUCUGUAGCUGGUCUGAGAGGACGACCAGCCACACUGGGACUGAGACACGGCCCAGACUCCUACGGGAGGCAGCAGUGGGGAAUUUUGGACAAUGGGCGAAAGCCUGAUCCAGCCAUACCGCGUGCGGGAAGAAGGCCUUCGGGUUGUAAACCGCUUUUGUCAGGGAGGAAAUCUUCUGGGUUAAUACCUCGGGAGGAUGACGGUACCUGAAGAAUAAGCACCGGCUAACUACGUGCCAGCCGCCGCCGUAA
rnacentral:rRNA from 1 species